rnacentral:rRNA from 1 species
CACGGGUGUAGCAAUACACAGUGGCGCAAGGGUGAGUAAUGUAUCGCUAACGUACCCCGGACUCUGGGAUAGCUACCCGAAAGGGUAGGUAAUACCAGAUGAUAUAACCGAGCCGCAUGGUUUGGUUCUCAAAGGUCCGCCGGUCUGGGCGCGGGCGAUAUCGUAUCAGCUAGUUGGUGAGGUAACGGCUCACCAAGGCGACGACGCGUAGCCGGACUGAGAGGUCGGUCGGCCACAUCGGGACUGAGACACUGCCCGGACUCCUACGGGGGGCUGCAGUAACGAAUCUUCCCCAAUGGGCGAAAGCCUGAGGGAGCGACGCCGCGUGUAGGACGAAGCCCUUCGGGGUGUAAACUACUGUCAGGGAUUAGAAAGUUCUGAUCAAUCCCAGAGGAAGGCACGGCUAACUCUGUGCCAGCAGCCGCGGUAAGACAGAGGUGCCAAGCGUUAGGCGGAAUCACUGGGCUUAAAGCGUGUGUAGGCGGAUCGUUAAGUGCCUUGUGAAAUCCCACGGCUCAACCGUGGAACUGCUUGGCAUACUGGCGGUCUUGAGCCAUCUAGGGGCUACUGGAACAAACGGUGGAGCGGUGAAAUGCGUAGAUAUCGUUUGGAACGCCCAUGGUGAAAACAGGUAGCUGGGGAUGUGCUGACGCUGAGACACGAAAGCCAGGGGAGCAAACGGGAUUAGAUACCCCGGUAGUCCUGGCCCUAAACGAAUGUCCACUAAAUCG